rnacentral:rRNA from 1 species
UACGAAGGGUGCAAGCGUUCCUCGGAAUUACUGGCGUAAAGCGUGCGUAGGUGGUUCGUUAAGUCUGAUGUGAAAGCCCUGGGCUCAACCUGGGAAUGGCAUUGGAAACUGGCGACCUAGAGUGCGGUAGAGGGUAGUGGAAUUCCCGGUGUAGCAGUGAAAUGCGUAGAGAUCGGGAGGAACAUCUGUGGCGAAGGCGACUGCCUGGACCAGCACUGACACUGAGGCACGAAGGUCAGGGGAGCAAACGGG